UACGUAGGGUGCAAGCGUUGUCCGGAAUUAUUGGGCGUAAAGAGCUCGUAGGCGGUUUGUCGCGUCUGCUGUGAAAACUCGGGGCUUAACUCCGGGCCUGCAGUGGGUACGGGCAGACUAGAGUGCGGUAGGGGAGACUGGAAUUCCUGGUGUAGCGGUGAAAUGCGCAGAUAUCAGGAGGAACACCGGUGGCGAAGGCGGGUCCCUGGGACGGUACUGACGCUGAGACGCGAAAGCGUGGGGAGCGAACAGG
rnacentral:rRNA from 1 species